UGCGCCUCGUCCGCAUCCCGGGGCGGGGCCGCCCGGACGCCUCUUAAGCUCCGCCGGAGGCCGCAGGGAGCUACGAGAGAGCCGCCGGGAUUCGCUGCGUGUCGGUGCCGGAGCGGGUUGUACUCCUUCGUCCGGCUGUAGCGAGAUCGCUCGCGGUGAGGAUCGGCCCGAACCGGUGAGCCGUUCCGGUAGCAACGGGACCGCGGAGGCGGGGAGCGCUCCGUAGCCGUUCGGGGUCGUCCGCCGCCGUCCGCCCGCCCGCAGCAAGGGGCCGGCCGAUUCUUCGCGCGGNNNNNNNNNNNNNNNNNNNNNNNNNNNNNNNNNNNNNNNNNNNNNNNNNNNNNNNNNNNNNNNNNNNNNUGGGGGUGCCCGCCGCUCGCUUCCCCGAGUCCUAGUGCAGCCACGGAAUGUUCUCAGCUCCUCCCGGGCUUUUUAGAAGGCUGAGCGAACGCUGCAGCAGAGCGGCUUGUCAGCUCGAACCGGCGAGCGUUUGGGAGUCACUAGGUAAGUUUUCUGUUCGUGGGGCCGCCGCUCGGCCGCUUCUGCUUUUUUGCGAUCGGCACGGAGCGGCCGCCGAACCGCUCGAGACCGAGCCCGACCCCGGGCGCCUGCCUCCGCACCCCGAAGAGUGUUGCCAGCGCGUCGACCCCUCCCGCUUCCAGCACAGAGCGCGAGCCGGACGGGACCGCGGAUUCCUUUUCCACCCACCCUGCACCUUACGCGUACCUUCAGGAGCAUCAUCUGCUUCUCGUAGCGGAGACACGGUGGGACAGCUUGCCCGACUGGAAUGCCGUUGUGGAUGGCAUGUUUUGUUCUUUUCUUUUUUUCCUUUUAGGGAAGACGGAGCAGCGAGGUGGCGGAGUUGCUCUUCUGGUGAGGUAACUGGAACGUAGCUGUGCCUAGGGACAGAUGAAGAACCAGGGCUGCCCUGCUGCGUGAGGCUCAAGGGGCGGUAAACGCGGGCAAUGUCGCUGGGGGUGUUGGUGACAGGCGGGGAUGAGGAAGCAGAUGCGAUCUUAUGCGUGCAGCUGGAAGUAACCUCACAGCUGCGUGCACGAGUUCUCACGGCAGACUUGAACCUCUCUGCCGGUUGCUAGGAAAACAGCACGCUCUCAUUGCAGGAGGUUCCUGUGAUGUGUCGAAGGUGAAAUUUUGGAUGCGGGUGACGGAGAAGCCAAGGAGGAGAGGGGUGCUGCCAGAGCUCUUCUCCCUGCUGAGGAACGGCUGGCUGGAGAUGAGAAGACCAAGUGAGGCCUGGAGCACGGCGACUGCGAGACAGCCGAGUUUGGGAUCUCACGUGGAAGAUGCUAAGCAUUACGUCGGAUUGAAACACGGGUCUCGGAUGGAGAAGAAUUCCUCCUCUUAAAGGGCUUAAUUGGAGGUAACCUUAGGGUUAGAGCAUCAGAAUAGGUCCUGCGAGCGGUUCUUGAUGCUCAGGCAUUACUUCCUCCGUGUUUGGAGGGGGUGUAUGUCUAAGAGCGAGACACAGAGCAGAGAUGGCAGGAGACCGGCGU
rnacentral:lncRNA from 1 species